rnacentral:tRNA from 1 species
UUAAGCAAAGCCAAAAAGAGGCUUAUCACUGUUAAUGAUAGAACUGGUUUCAAGCCUGCUUAAG